rnacentral:rRNA from 1 species
AUUGAACGCUGGCGGCAGGCCUAACACAUGCAAGUCGAACGAGAGGCGGACGGGAGAGUAAUGUCUGGGAAACUGCCUGAUGGAGGGGGAUAAAUACUGGAAACGGUAGCUAAUACCGCAUACCAUCAGAUGUGCCCAGAUUGGAUUAGCGAGGUGGUGGGGGAACGGCUCACCAAGGCGACGAUCCCUAGCUGGUCUGAGAGGAUGACCAGCCACACUGGACCUGAGACACGGUCCAGACUCCGACGGGAGGCAGCAGUGGUGAAUAUUGCACAAUGGGCGCAAGCCUGAUGCAGCCAGGCCGCGUGUAUGACGAAGGCCUUCGGGUUGUAAAGCACUUUCAGCGGGGAGGCGUUACCCGCAGAAGAAGCACCGGCUAACUCCGUGCCAGCCGCCGCGGUAAUAC